AUGGGCGCGCAGCGGCAGGCAGCGACGCGGACAGCCCGGCGCGGAUUCCUGCUGCCCCCCGGACCGCCGGGCAGGGUGGUUCGGCCGUCGUCAGAGGAGAGCGCCGUGCGCGCGUGCGCGCGCUGCCCUGGCCCCGGUGGAAAAUGUGUCGGAGGCACGGCGGUGAAGGGUCGCUGCCAUGCACACGCACCACGCACGCCCUCUCGUGCGCUCCAGGUAGCAGAUGUUAACGAGGUAGUGCUAACCACUUGGUGCUGGGGGUCGGGGACCGUGGGUGCAUGUGCUCCUGUCGGCCUGGCCUGGAUGCAUGGCCAACUUCACCGCGUGACCCUAUCCUGCCCGCCCCCGUCCGUUUGGGAUAAAAAGGACAAAAGAGACGGCCCAGCGCGCGGGCGCAAACGGACUUUGUGUCCGCUUUGUGUCCGCUUUCGACCCAUCCCGGCUCAAAUUUGUGCUGGUUUUGGGGUGAAACGGACAGCGCGCGGACGGGCGGGACGGGCGCGUUUGUCCUCCCCUGGCCCGCCCGUCGGUGGGAGAAACCAAACCCCCUCCCCCCCGCCCAUUUGGCGCCAUUUGCCCCAAACCCUCCCGCCUCCCUCCCGCCGCCCCCUCUCUCCUCCGUCCAUGGCCGACGCCCCGUCGAGUCCCGGCGGCCUGGCCACCGUCCCGCCCGCAAAGGUGAAGAAGAAGGCUCCAAGAAAACCGCGGUCGGAGUACACGCCGGAGGAGAUCGCCAAGUUGGACGCGGAAUCGGCGAAGAGGAGGGAACGGAGAGCGGUCGUCAAGCUCAAUGCCGCCGCGGCCAAGAGAGCCGCCAUGCGCGAGGAGUUGGAGGCCGCGCGGCGCAAGGCCGCUGCCGACGAGAAGGAGGACCUCAUCAACAAAGCUCACGCCAUCCUCAUGCUUGGCAUGGGCCGUCCUGCCGGGUUCCCUGCAGCGGUCGUCGCACCGGCGAGCACCAGCUCGUCAGUUGCGCGGCCUACGCACUGCCAGUCGCCGACGUCGCGCACCACGCCCAUGUCGCCCGGCUUCCCUCCGCCAAGGCACGACGGACAGACCCGUUUCUCGGGGUCGCCGGAGGUGGGCUUGUUCGUGCCGUCCACACCGCGCCCCGCGGCCGUCAUCGACCUCAACGUCACGCCCGGGUCCAGCAGCGGCGGGCGGCCGUCCGUCGAGAUGCUAAGAAAGCAGGCACGGGCACCGUUCACGGGCACCAUGCCGGCCCCCCGUGUCUUGUUUGACGGAAUGCCAACCCCAACGCCAGCGGUCGACGACCCCUUCUACAACCGGUACAUGGAGGACGUGAUCUUCGACGGUGGCCAUGGCCGUACCUACGACGUCGAUGAGACCCAAAGCCAGGAUGGUCGUGCCCAGUACGUCCCCGAUGAAGAGGCCGACGAACGUGCUGACUACGACUACGGUGACUCGUGGCAUGAAGACGAUGACAUCUAUGUCGAAGGUGAUGAAGAAGAAGAAGAAAGCAAUGACGUUGAUAUUAGUGGUGCGCCAUUGUUCAUCGACGAGCUCACCCAAAGAGCGGAGGCACAAAAGAAGAGGAAGAGCAUUCACACGGGUUCAUAUACACAAGAUGAGGACAAGUUGAUUUGCCAAGUUUGGAUGGAGAUUAGCCAAGAUCCGAGGACCGGCGCGCAACAAAAGGGCAUUGCAUUCCAAUCUUUGGAGGCAUUCAAGGGCCGGCACAAUGACAAGCCAUUCACUCUUACGCAUUGUUGGACGCUCAUCAACAUGUGCCCUAAGUUCAAGGACCAAUCCCGUGAACUACAAAGGAAAAGAGGACUGAAGACGGCCAAGUUCGCCGGAGGUGGAGAUGGCGAGGCGUUGAAGAGGCCGAGGGGCAAGACCAACUCCAAGGUGGACGACAUAUGUGACGCCUCAUCCAUGGCCUUGCAUGAGACUUUGCAUGGCAUGAUGUCCCAAAAGGAUGUGAGGGACGAGAAGAAGCAGCAAAGCAAGGACGAGCAAAUGAAGCAAUACCUAGACCUUCAAAGACAGAAGCUUGAGAUGGAGGAGGCGGCCAAGAAGAGGAAGCUCGACAUGGAGGAGGCGUCCCGGCAAAGGCAGCUCGACAUGGAGGAGGCGGCCCGGCAAAGGCAGCUGGACAUCGAGGCCGACAACGUCAAGGCCAGGCAGAGGCAGCUCGACAUCGAGGCCACCAAUGCCGCCACCAAAGCGAAGGAGGUGGCCCUUGCGAUCAUGAGCGUGGACUUGUCGAAGAUGAGCGACAAGACGAGGGCCUGGUUCGAGGCCAGGCAGAAGGAGAUGCUCGACGCCGAAGGCCGGUUGUGUUGCCGGCGAGAAGAACUAUUCAUUUUGGAGGCUGGCUGUGUUGCCGGCCGCUGGUUGAUGCCGGCGAUAGACGUGAUGGGGCAAAUGGAUGCGGCCGCGCGCUGCGCGCAUGGCCACCGCAUCCCAGGACACGCCCGAACACGGCCCCAAACCCCUACCCAAACAGACCGAAUUUGGACAAAACGGACAUCCGUUUGGGGUGGAGUUGGCCUAAUUACUAGAACAAGCCGGCCAAUCCCGUGCGAGCGUCUGCCGCCUCCUUGUCCGUCGGAUGCACCGUUGAUCAGACGGUCGAGAGCGACCCCUUCCCAUCUCCACGUAUCUGCAACUAGUGCUUUGUUUCAGGGAUGGAGUUUGCAACUAGCCUAUUGUUACAAACCGAAUAGGGCUAGAUCCUGCAGUGCACGGAGUAGGGAGGGCGACAGCGGCCAAGUCGAGCGCCGCCGCCUGUACGUCAUCAUCGCCAAGCACAUCCAUGUCGGAUCUCCGCCGCCAAACGCCUCGCCGCCGAGCGGAUCGACGGAUCCGGCGAGAUCCGCCAUGUCCGUCGUGGAGCACCAUGAACUUCAUGGCCCUCGCUGGCAGCAACCACAUCACCGCACACUAGCGAACAAGAAAAACGUUCAAGUACCCCGCUUCGAUAGGCUGGUAGCAUUGAAGCCCAAGCCCUAUUUACUUGAGAUGAAACAGAGCAUUGACUCUCCCUCAACUCUCUCGCUCGUAUUGCCCAGUUUGGAAAAACUACAUAUCAAGGGUGGACUUGCAACUGGGACAAAAGAAAAUAGACCCCCAAAUUGCAUGUCACGGGUGUAG
rnacentral:rRNA from 1 species